rnacentral:rRNA from 1 species
ACAGCAGUCGCCACGGGAAUACGGAGGGUGCAAGCGUUAAUCGGAAUUACUGGGCGUAAAGCGCACGCAGGCGGUUUGUUAAGUCAGAUGUGAAAUCCCCGAGCUUAACUUGGGAACUGCAUUUGAAACUGGCAAGCUAGAGUCUUGUAGAGGGGGGUAGAAUUCCAGGUGUAGCGGUGAAAUGCGUAGAGAUCUGGAGGAAUACCGGUGGCGAAGGCGGCCCCCUGGACAAAGACUGACGCUCAGGUGCGAAAGCGUGGGGAGCAAACAGGAUUAGAUACCCCUGUAGUCCCUGUCUCUUAUAC